rnacentral:rRNA from 1 species
GCCUACGGGGGGCAGCAGUAAGGGAUAUUGGUCAAUGGGGGAAACCCUGAACCAGCAACGCCGCGUGAGGGAAGACGGUUUUCGGAUCGUAAACCUCUGUCCUCUGUGAAGAUGAUGACGGUAGCAGAGGAGGAAGCUCCGGCUAACUACGUGCCAGCAGCCGCGGUAAUACGUAGGGAGCGAGCGUUGUCCGGAUUUACUGGGUUUAAAGGGUGCGUAGGCGGAAUGCCAAGUCAGCGGUAAAAUCGCGGGGCUCAACCUCGCUCCGCCGUUGAACCUGGCGUUCUUGAGUGGGCGAGAAGUAU